CGAGUCCUGAACAUGUGACACCAGCAGCAGCAGGAGCACGUAGAAGCUAGUGGUCAAAACAUCCAGAAAACUUCAAAGUGCUGAAUGCUCAGGCAGAGGAGGUACGAAGAGAAGCGGUGAGCUUGACAUUGUGAUGAGUGGAGCAGGGGGAAGUCUCUGCUACUCUCUUCGGUCCUUGCCUUUGCUCUGGGAAGUCAUUGAUCUGCUCUGAGGGGAAGCGGCUCUCUAUGCAGCAAAGUCCAUUGCUGCACUAAAUAUUCGUCAUCAGCAAAGAGCAAGUGCAUGUUUUUGAGUAGCACAGUUCUACCGAGAAUGACUGCAGGUGUUGAAAAGGUUGCUUUGGGUCAGUAGUAACAUCAUCUCCAACACCUCAGAGCCGUGGGUCUACGGGACGUAGUGGACACUGAGGAACAAACAGAUAUCCUUCUUCUCCUGACCACCACCUUUAUCUCCAUCUCUUGGCCACUCUGGACAGCUGUGAGCCAGUCGCCAGAGGAGGAGAGAGAACAGCAGCAAUGACCCAACAGCAAUG
rnacentral:lncRNA from 1 species